GGUGUCUUUGCAACGACAUAGACCUUUUUCGAAUAGGGUGUCGGCCGUUUUGGGAGGACCUUCGUUACAUUUAGUUUAUCUCCUGCUUCUAAUAUGUUUUCUAUAAAAAAAAAAAAUUAAAUUUGUUGUUAGAGAAGUUUAGGACACCUUUGAAAUCUACUAUAUAAAACACGAUUUUGUAUACUCUCUCGCUCGAGCUUCAGAAGUUUCAAAAUCAAAACUUUUGCCAAUACGACUACAGAAUGAGCUUCCGUCUCCUCACAAAGCAGCUGCGGAGCAGAAGCAGAGCCCGUAUAUCGCCAUUUCCCUCCAUUUUCUUGCGUUCGUUCUCACAAAUUUCAUCUCAAUUCUCCAGACCUACGUUUGGCAUUGCAUUCGACAUUGAUGGUGUGCUUCUCCGGGGCGAUGCUCCCAUUGGAGGCUCUCCACAAGCUCUCAGAAAGUUAUACGAUGAUUCUGGUGUAUUAAUGGUUCCUUUUAUCUUCUUGACAAAUGGCGGAGGAUUUCGUGAAUCCAAGAGAGCCUCAGAUUUGAGUGAAGUUUUAGGCGUCAAUAUAUCACCUUUACAGGUUGUUCAGGGCCAUUCACCAUUUAAACACCUAGUGAACAGAUACGAAAACAAACUUGUGAUUGCUGUUGGAAAGGGAGAACCCGCUGCAGUGAUGUCUGAAUAUGGAUUUCAGAAUGUUCUUUCAAUUGAUGAAUAUGCAUCCUUCUUUGAUAACAUUGAUCCUCUGGCACCAUAUAAGAAAUGGACGACUAUAAAAGGUGCUAAUCAUGAAAGAACUAUCGCAGAUCUAACCGAGAAGAAGAAAAUUUGCUCAGAGAGGGUUGAGGCUGCCUUCAUCGUUAGUGAUUCUGUUGAUUGGAGCAGGGAUAUUCAGGUACUUUGUGAUAUCUUAAGAACUGGAGGUCUUCCAGGCAGGGAAUUUGGGAACCAACCGGACUUGUACUUUGCACAUGAUGACCUUGAAUACCAGGCUGCUUUUCCUUGUGAGCGUUUUGGUAUGGGAGCUUUCAGAAUUGCACUAGAGUCUAUCUACAAUAAGAUUCACCCUCAUGCCUUGCAGUGUACGUGCUAUGGCAAACCAAAUCCACUCGUAUUUCACAAUGCAGAAUCUGUACUUAAACUAGUGUCAUCAAUUCAUCAAAACAAGGUGGAUGCGAAUGCUGAAACUCAUCACUUCAAGACACUAUAUAUGAUAGGGGAUAAUCCUUCUGUCGAUAUCAAUGGUGCAAUUCAGGCUGGAAGUCCUUGGUUUUCUAUCAUGACUAGAACAGGGGUUUUUAAGGGAAAAGAAAAUCAUGAUAAGUAUCCAGCUGAUCUGGUAGUUGACAGCGUUGAAGAAGCAGUGAACUACAUUUUCAAGAAGGAAGGGAUCUCUUGAAAAAACAUGAAGGGAAGAUUGAUUUUUUUUGGCAACAUAUUGAUAAUUUCAUUAUUAUUGUGAUGUGGGCAUUGGAGCUAUCCUUCAGAAUUUGAACGUGGUUCUAUUAUGGGCUAACUUUGGACUAGCCAUCAUUGGAAUUUGGUUGCUCAUGGCCUAGCUUCCCAUGCUUGUCGUUUUGAAAAUUUUGCCAUGUGGCUCGAAGACCAUCCUCUUUGGGUGUAUCCUACCAUUCAUUUUGAUUUGCUUUGUUUUUAGUGUUCUUUUGUUUCUCCUCUAUUGUACUAAAAAAAAGGCUAUAGUUCACGAUGACCAUCUCUAAUGCGAUAUGUUAAAAAAGAUGUGAUGGUUAUAACAUAAGCAAAAAGUGAUAUACCAUAAGUUUGUAAGGAGCGGGGCACCAAUCAUAAAUAUAUUUUAAAGAAGAUCAUGUACAAAUUUCUCACUCUUAUAUUCCAUUAGUAAUUCGGUCCA